AUACGGAGGGUGCAAGCGUUAUUGGGAAUCACUGGGCGUAAAGGACGCGUAGGCGGGUUGGCAAGUCAGAUGAGAAAUCCUACAGCUUAACUGUAGAACUGCAUUUGAAACUGCUAACCUAGAGUAUGGGAGGGGGAGAUGGAAUUAGUGGUGUAGGGGUAAAAUCCGUAGAUAUCACUAGGAAUACCGAAAGCGAAGGCGAUCUCCUGGAACAUAACUGACGCUAAGGCGUGAAAGCGUGGGGAGCAAACAGGAUUAGAAACCCUAGUAGUCC
rnacentral:rRNA from 1 species